rnacentral:tRNA from 1 species
GGGGGUGUAGCUCACCUGGCUAGAGCGCUUGCAUGGCAUGCAAGAGGUAACGAGUUCAAGUCUCGUCAUCUCCA